ensembl:lncRNA
CCCAUCCAUUCACAUUCAUUAGACUCUAUCUCCACCCCAUGAAGCGCUCUUAGCUUGUAAAAAUACUAUAUUUGCGGGUGUUCUCAGUGAGAUGAUAGGUAAGCGAGCACGUCUGUGGCCAUCUGAAGAGUUUGGAAUUGAUUCAUUUGGAUUUGGCUGUGGAACUGAUUGGUUUAUAGGUUUGGAUGACUGGGUUUGGAUUGGCACUUAUGGUCAGAACCAUAAACUGUUACUGGGGCAUGUAUGACAAGGACUUCCAUUAGGAUUACGUAUUUGUGGGGCCUUUAUCGCCUAUGCAGACAUCAAGGCAUGCAUCCGGGCGAUCUGGUUAAAAGAUGAAAUGCAUCUAUUCCCCUUUUUUAGAAAUGAGUUUCAGUAAACUCCCAUCAUGCAGUGCUUCUAUAUGGAGACAUAAAUAUGGGAGGAUAAGGAAAAAGAGAAGAAACAGGAUUGGAACACAAUGUGUUGGAACUGAUCCUGAAUCUCCCAUCUGAGUACAUGUCUUGGACACAUGAAAUAACCACUAGGCCACUCCUCCAGCUGGUGAGUUUGACUUUUCAGAUGGUGGAUCAAAUCUUUGUGUAUUUGUGCACACAAAUAAUCAUUUGCAGUUUUACAUUGACCUGAUGAUGUUGGGUUUGAACGGACUGUCUGGCUGUAUGGUCUGUGUUCGCUGGACUCUGGUUCAGUGAUUGGAAUGAUAAGUGCACAGCAUGCAGAGUCAGGCCUGUCAGAUGUUGCUGGAAUAGUCAUCAGUGUUGAAUGAUAAAACCCCAGCACACUCUCACUGUGUAGAAGAGACAUCCUUCUAACCUUACUUUAUACAUUCUUCAGUAUAAAAUAUUGUGUUUAUAACUUACACGCCUAUCUUUGUGUGUGUGUGUGUGUGUGUGUGUGUGUGUGUGUGUGUGUGUGCGGGCAUGCGUGCGUGCGUGCGUGUGUGUGUGUGUGUGUGUGUGUGUGUGUGUGUGUGAUUUGUGUUAAAUGAGAAGGGAGUUUAACAUAAUAUUAUAAUUGGUGUUUCUUUGAAAUCAUUUACUUACGUAUUUAUUUAUAAUUUACCAGUUAGCAAAUUAUUCUUGAUUCUUCUAUACCUCUUAUUGUGUGUUAAUGUGCACCUUACAUGUUAAAUCAAGUAUUUCAGUAUUCCUUUUAUUUCACAUCCUGCCCAUAAGGAAGUGAAAUUCCUCAGUCAUUCAGAGCAUUUAAUAAACUCUUCUGCAGAUGUUUGAUUAUGAUUCCU